GACGUUGAUAGGCUGGGUGUGGAAGCGUAGUAAUACGUUAAGCUAACCAGUACUAAUUGCCCGUGCGGCUUGUCCCU
rnacentral:rRNA from 1 species